ensembl:lncRNA
CCCUCAUUCAUCAGACUGGUGGCACUGCACACAUUUCGGGCAAUGAGCAGAAGCCCAGGAGCAGUUGAAAUCCUGGGCUUCAACCAAAGGUUAAAUCCCACUCGUGUGCUGGUCCCAUCUCACAUGAAUCAAAAGUAAGCGCAGCACUGCCAGUGAGGGGUGGAAACACAAAACCCCAGGGAUGGCCAUAAAAGGUCACUGUGUCAAGACACUGUUCUUCCAGCACAUGGUUCCAGCUCUGGGACCUAGCACCAAGCCUCCUUGCUCUCACUCAUUUGUCUUAAUUAUUUUUCCAUUGUGAAGUCUGAGUAUAUCUAACUCCUCCUCUCCUCUCCUCUCCUCUCCUCUCCUCUCCUCUCCUCUCCUCUCCUCUCCUCUCCUCUCCUCUCCUCUCCUCUCCUCUCCUCUCCUCUCCUCUCCUCUCCUCUCCUCUCCUCUCUUCUCCUCUCCUCUUCCUUUUUUUUUUCUUUCAGAAUAAAUCCUUAUAGAAUUAAUCCUUAUUUCCCUUUUUGACAUAACAUACCUGUUUCAAAAUGUGCACUGAAUUCAGCUCUCCCCUACUGUUGCAGCCUACUUUGUGCCGUUAUCUUUCUUCUAGUACCAGUCUCGGUUUUGCUCUCUGCUUAGUAAAUCCUCCUAAUUUAUUCUGGUAUUUUAAAGGGAAUUUUCCUCUCAAGUCUCAUUUAUUCUGGCCAUUUUUAGGCUAUCCAUGCUGAUCAUGGAGAACAGCUCCAGUAUUUUGUGUACUACAUAAAUAGUGCUUUCCAUAGAAACUUAUGUCCAAGUGUUUCAAUCCUGGGAGAGCAGUUUUACCUUAGUGCCUGCACUCAUUGUGCCCGUCUCCAAAAAAGAAAGAGAUACCAAAAUGGUUUUUCUUGCAUUAUGCUUUGGCUGCUGCAUUUCACACUGAAAGAUGUAAAACAAAGUUCUGUGCUCCAUACGUGCUCAACGACUUCUUCAAAAGAAGGAGGAAUGUGAGCAUUUGUAUAUAAGAGAGGUUGUGCCAUGGUUUCCUGAACAACACUUGGUCACGACAGCUUGUGCUAGACCUUAGUUCUUGGUCACAUCCUUACCUUGCUGAAAAGCAACAGCAUAAAAUAAGUUUUUAACUCGAGAUGUAUUAUAUCCAUAUAUUUUAAGCAAUAAUUUCCACUAAAGGAAAACAUUUAAUUAAUGAAAGAGGUCUACGAUUUGACAGAUAAUUUUUACUUCUAUUUCCACAUACAGGUGGCAUUACAGUGCAUGGCUUUGUGCUGAUUUUCAUCAAUCCCUUCAUCACAAAAAGACCUCUUCAA